rnacentral:rRNA from 1 species
CUUGUACACACCGCCCGUCACGUCAUGAAAGCUGGCAACACUUGAAGCCGAUGAGCCAACCCUCUUCGGAGGGAGGCAGUCGUCUAGGGUGGGGUCGGUGAUUGGGACGAAGUCGUAACAAGGUAGCCGUAGCGGAAGCUGCGGCUGGAUCACCUCCUUUCUAGGGAG